GUCUGUACUAAAGUGUAAACCGUGUAAACCUGUUUCUUACUGAAAUAAGCGCCAGGCUGGAGUGGGAACAAGACUGGACAUGCCGAUCCCACCCAGACUGGGACAGACGUAGUUCCAGACCCCGAUGCUCCCACGUCGGAUCUUCUGACCCACAGCCAGCUCCAUGAAGAAGAGCGGGAUGCCGAUGAUGAGGAGGAGGAUAAAGUAGGGAACCAGGUAAGGGAAGCGCCACACAUUCCCCAGGCCCACAGAGAAGCCCA